rnacentral:rRNA from 1 species
UACAGAGGAGCCAAGCGUUGUCCGGAUUGACUGGGCGUAAAGCGCACGCAGGCGGUUGCGCGCGGGGGGUGUGAAAUCUGGCCGCUUAACGGCCAGGCGCCAUCCCAUACGGCGCGACUGGAGGGCUGCAGAGGUCGAUGGAAUUGCCGGUGUAGUGGUGAAAUGCGUAGAGAUCGGCAGGAACACCCAGGGGGAAACCAGUCGACUGGGCAGCACCUGACGCUGAGGUGCGAGAGCGUGGGGAGCGAACAGG